AUUGAACGCUGGCGGCAGGCCUAACACAUGCAAGUCGAACGGAGUGGCGGACGGGUGAGUAAUGCCUAGGAAACUGCCUGGUCGUGGGGGAUAACGUCCGGAAACGGGCGCUAAUACCGCAUACUAUCAGAUGAGCCUCGGUGGGAUUAGCUAGUUGGGGGGGUAACGGCCUACCAAGGAGAAGAUCCGUAACUGGUCUGAGAGGAUGCACAUGCACACUGGAACUGAGACACGGUCCAGACGCCUACGGUAGGCAGCAGUGGGGAAUAUUGGACAAUGGGCGAAAGCCUGAUCCAGCCAUGCCGCGGGUGUGAAGAAGGUCUUCGGAUUGUAAAGCACUUUAAGUUGGGAGGCGUUACCAACAGAAUAAGCACCGGCUAACUUCGUGCCAGCAGCCGCGGUAAUAC
rnacentral:rRNA from 1 species